AGGGAAAGGCGAAAAGAACCCCGGCGAGGGGAGUGAAAAAGAACCUGAAACCGUGUACGUACAAGCAGUGGGAGCACGCUUAGGCGUGUGACUGCGUACCUUUUGUAUAAUGGGUCAGCGACUUAUAUUCUGUAGCAAGGUUAACCGAAUAGGGGAGCCGAAGGGAAACCGAGUCUUAACUGGGCGUUAAGUUGCAGGGUAUAGACCCGAAACCCGGUGAUCUAGCCAUGGGCAGGUUGAAGGUUGGGUAACACUAACUGGAGGACCGAACCGACUAAUGUUGAAAAAUUAGCGGAUGACUUGUGGCUGGGGGUGAAAGGCCAAUCAAACCGGGAGAUAGCUGGUUCUCCCCGAAAGCUAUUUAGGUAGCGCCUCGUGAAUUCAUCUCCGGGGGUAGAGCACUGUUUCGGCAAGGGGGUCAUCCCGACUUACCAACCCGAUGCAAACUGCGAAUACCGGAGAAUGUUAUCACGGGAGACACACGGCGGGUGCUAACGUCCGUCGUGAAGAGGGAAACAACCCAGACCGCCAGCUAAGGUCCCAAAGUCAUGGUUAAGUGGGAAACGAUGUGGGAAGGCCCAGACAGCCAGGAUGUUGGCUUAGAAGCAGCCAUCAUUUAAAGAAAGCGUAAUAGCUCACUGGUCGAGUCGGCCUGCGCGGAAGAUGUAACGGGGCUAAACCAUGCACCGAAGCUGCGGCAGCGACGCUGAUGCGUUGUUGGGUAGGGGAGCGUUCUGUAAGCCUGCGAAGGUGUGCUGUGAGGCAUGCUGGAGGUAUCAGAAGUGCGAAUGCUGACAUAAGUAACGAUAAAGCGGGUGAAAAGCCCGCUCGCCGGAAGACCAAGGGUUCCUGUCCAACGUUAAUCGGGGCAGGGUGAGUCGACCCCUAAGGCGAGGCCGAAAGGCGUAGUCGAUGGGAAACAGGUUAAUAUUCCUGUACUUGGUGUUACUGCGAAGGGGGGACGGAGAAGGCUAUGUUGGCCGGGCGACGGUUGUCCCGGUUUAAGCGUGUAGGCUGGUUUUCCAGGCAAAUCCGGAAAAUCAAGGCUGAGGCGUGAUGACGAGGCACUGCGGUGCUGAAGCAACAAAUGCCCUGCUUCCAGGAAAAGCCUCUAAGCAUCAGGUAACAUCAAAUCGUACCCCAAACCGACACAGGUGGUCAGGUAGAGAAUACCAAGGCGCUUGAGAGAACUCGGGUGAAGGAACUAGGCAAAAUGGUGCCGUAACUUCGGGAGAAGGCACGCUGAUAUGUAGGUGAAGUCCCUCGCGGAUGGAGCUGAAAUCAGUCGAAGAUACCAGCUGGCUGCAACUGUUUAUUAAAAACACAGCACUGUGCAAACACGAAAGUGGACGUAUACGGUGUGACGCCUGCCCGGUGCCGGAAGGUUAAUUGAUGGGGUUAGCGCAAGCGAAGCUCUUGAUCGAAGCCCCGGUAAACGGCGGCCGUAACUAUAACGGUCCUAAGGUAGCGAAAUUCCUUGUCGGGUAAGUUCCGACCUGCACGAAUGGCGUAAUGAUGGCCAGGCUGUCUCCACCCGAGACUCAGUGAAAUUGAACUCGCUGUGAAGAUGCAGUGUACCCGCGGCAAGACGGAAAGACCCCGUGAACCUUUACUAUAGCUUGACACUGAACAUUGAGCCUUGAUGUGUAGGAUAGGUGGGAGGCUUUGAAGUGUGGACGCCAGUCUGCAUGGAGCCGACCUUGAAAUACCACCCUUUAAUGUUUGAUGUUCUAACGUUGACCCGUAAUCCGGGUUGCGGACAGUGUCUGGUGGGUAGUUUGACUGGGGCGGUCUCCUCCUAAAGAGUAACGGAGGAGCACGAAGGUUGGCUAAUCCUGGUCGGACAUCAGGAGGUUAGUGCAAUGGCAUAAGCCAGCUUGACUGCGAGCGUGACGGCGCGAGCAGGUGCGAAAGCAGGUCAUAGUGAUCCGGUGGUUCUGAAUGGAAGGGCCAUCGCUCAACGGAUAAAAGGUACUCCGGGGAUAACAGGCUGAUACCGCCCAAGAGUUCAUAUCGACGGCGGUGUUUGGCACCUCGAUGUCGGCUCAUCACAUCCUGGGGCUGAAGUAGGUCCCAAGGGUAUGGCUGUUCGCCAUUUAAAGUGGUACGCGAGCUGGGUUUAGAACGUCGUGAGACAGUUCGGUCCCUAUCUGCCGUGGGCGCUGGAGAACUGAGGGGGGCUGCUCCUAGUACGAGAGGACCGGAGUGGACGCAUCACUGGUGUUCGGGUUGUCAUGCCAAUGGCACUGCCCGGUAGCUAAAUGCGGAAGAGAUAAGUGCUGAAAGCAUCUAAGCACGAAACUUGCC
rnacentral:rRNA from 1 species